CUGCGGCUUUCUUGUAGGCCGCCAAGCAUCGCUUAAAGGGCUUUGCUAGUCACGGUCUAGGCCGGGGCGACAUCAUCAAAUUGCGGGGAAGUCCUUAGAGCCAGCGUAACCAACCACGCGCCGAAAGGCGGAAAAAUACGGGGCGUUAAUACCUCUUUGAGUGGGGGAGUCGCCGUCGUGGGGCCGGGGUAAUGACCUUGGGUACGGUAAAAUCACGUUGGAUUGGAUCAUCCGCAGCCAAGUCCCUAAACGUAUUCGGAUUAGUCCGUUUACAGGGAUGCAGUUCACAGACUAAAUGGUGGUGGGUGGUAUGAGCGUUUACGCCAUACUGCUUAAGAUAUAGUCGGGCCCACCCGAAAGGGUGCCCUGGGAGGAAGCCGAUCUAAUCGGCCCAAGCUCAGGGAGGUCGAUGGUAGCGAUACCGUCGGCUGGGAACCUACCGUAAUUUGACUCAACACGGGAAAACUCACCAGGUCCGGAUACACGCAUGAAAGUCAAGCUGAAAGACUUUACUCAAUGAUGUAAGUGGUGGUGCAUGGUCGUACUAAGUGCGACAGUGCCUGUAAAACCAGGUGCUAGUGGGCCAGGUGCGCUAUUGCGAGCAUCUGUAACCUGCGACAUUGUCAAAUUGCGGGGAAAUCCAAAGUGGGCUGCAGUACCGCCUCGGCACCGAAAGGUCUGGCCGACGGCACCUCAGGGAAACUUGGGGGUAUGGUAAGAAUCUGUAGUCUUGGACUAUCCGCAGCCAAGUCCUAACCACCCUUUGAUAAGCCCUUAGCUCAAAAUGGCGAGCUAAGGCUAUAAGGUUGUAUGGAUGCAGUUCAACGACUAAAUGGCAGUGGGCUGGGUAACCGGCUUAAGAUAUAGUCUUGCCCCACCGGAAGGUGGCCUUGGGAUGAGGGGACUAGCAAUCCCCAGAGCCUAAGGAGGGGUUGUUACGCAUGCAGCCCUGGGAACUAACAGUCUUAGUUCGUGGAUUGAUUUGUCUGGUCUAUUCCGAUAACGAGCGAGACCCCAGCGUUCCUAGUAGGGCCAACAGCCCGACCAGCCGCAAGGCUGGUUAGCUGGCGGCUUAACAUAAGCUUCUUAGACGCAUCAGGGCCGAUAAGGUCCUUGAAAUGGGUUAAUAACAGGUCAGUCAUGCCCUUAGAUGUUCUGGGCCGCACGCGCGUUACAAUGGCAUGUAAAGCGAGUGCCGGUUAACAUGGCAUAUCCGGGGCCGAAAGGCCCUGGUAACCAUUAGUCCCUGCUUAGACUGGGACAGAUCAUUGCAAUUAUUGGUCUCAAACGAGGAAUUUUUAGUAAGCAUAGGUCAUUAACCU
rnacentral:rRNA from 1 species